rnacentral:rRNA from 1 species
GACGAACGCUGGCGGCAUGCUUAACACAUGCAAGUCGAACGCGCCUGUCCUCUGGGUUUCUGGGGGGUGGGUGAGUGGCGCACGGGUGAGUCACACGUGAGUAACCUCCCCCCUUCUUCGGGAUAACGGUCUGAAAGGGCUGCUAAUACCGGGUAUUCUCUGGUCUCCGCAUGGGGUCUGGUGGAAAGGUUUUUUUCUGGUGGGGGAUGGGCUCGCGGCCUCUCAGCUUGUUGGUGGGGUGAUGGCCCACCCAGGCUUUGACGGGUAGCCGGCCUGAGAGGGUGACCGGUCACAUUGGGACUGAGAUACGGCCCAGACGCCGACGGGAGGCAGCAGUGGGGAAUAUUGCGCAAUGGGCGCAAGCCUGAUGCAGCGACGCCGCGUGAGGGAUGGAGGCCUUCGGGUUGUGAACCUCUUUCGCCCGUGGUCAAGCCGCGACGUGGGUCGUGGUGAGGGUAGUGGGUAAAGAAGCGCCGGCUAACUACGUG